UACGUAGGUGGCAAGCGUUAUCCGGAAUUAUUGGGCGUAAAGCGCGCGUAGGCGGUUUUUUAAGUCUGAUGUGAAAGCCCACGGCUCAACCGUGGAGGGUCAUUGGAAACUGGAAAACUUGAGUGCAGAAGAGGAAAGUGGAAUUCCAUGUGUAGCGGCGAAAUGCGCAGAGAUAUGGAGGAACACCAGUGGCGAAGGCGACUUUCUGGUCUGUAACUGACGCUGAUGUGCGAAAGCGUGGGGAUCAAACAGGAUUAGAU
rnacentral:rRNA from 1 species